rnacentral:rRNA from 1 species
CCCUUAGAUGUUCUGGGCGGCCCGCGCACUACAAUGGCGUGUGCAGCGAGUGCCGAAGUAGAGUUUUCCGAGGUAUUCUUGCAAUGCUCGUUUUGAUGGGGAUAGACCCUUGCAACUGUUGGUUUUGAACGAGGAAUUCCUUGUAAGCAUGGUUUAUCAUCCGACGCUGAAUGCGUCCCUGCCCUUUGUACACACCGCCCGUCGCUCCUACCGAUGAGUCGUCCGGUGAAGUUCGUAGACCUCGCGAUCGCGGAUCACUGGGGGAAGCAAAAUGAACCUCGCGGUUUAGAGGAAGGAGAAGUCGUAACA